GGUAGUGAAGAGAAAUAACGAUGUUAGCUUUUUUAGGCUGACAAUCGGAAUGGAAAAACUCUAAAAAGGUUAUUGAUUAACAAUUGGAGGGCAAGUCUGGUGCCAGCAGCCGCGGUAAUUCCAGCUACCAAUAAGGAAAACUAAAGUUGCUGUGUUUAAAAAGCUCGUAGUUGAAUUUCGGGUAUUUGUUGCUAGUUGGUCUUUUCGGCCAUAUUGGUUAACAGAUCCUCACUUGCUGGACGGCUGGCGAUGAUCUUUAUCGGUUGUCGUCAGUUGCCAGAACGUUUACUUUGAGAAAAUUAGAGUGCUAAAAGCAGGCUCACGCCUAUAUAUAUUGCAUGGAAUAAUGAAAUAAGAUCUCGAUUUUAUUUCGUUGGUUUUAGAAAUUGAGAUAAUGAUUAAUAGGAUCAGAGGGGGGC
rnacentral:rRNA from 1 species